rnacentral:misc_RNA from 1 species
GGAAAGUGAAGGCAAAAUCUA